UAAAAAUGGGGCGCGACAGGGAUAAUUCAUAAUUUCCGGUCUUUGUCUUGAGAAAAGAGAAUUUAGGAAGGACGGCAUUUCGAUUGAAAAUUUUUUCCUGAGAUGGACUUUUUGAAAUGUUUUAAAAUGGUUGAGGCACUAAAUCCUAUUUGUGAGUUCAUUGCUGAAUAGGUGUAUCUAAAAUGAAGAAAAAAUUUCUGAUUUUUCGUAACGAUCAUUGACUUUGUUGCAGCAAAUAAACAAGAUAAGUCAAUAGUCUUUGAUUACUGUAAGGUAGCCGCACAUUUAUCUUCUGAUUGUAAAUUCU
rnacentral:lncRNA from 1 species